GGGAGGCAGAGCCGCCGGCCUCCGGCGGCGGCGUGCCGUCCGGUGGCGGCGGCAGAGGGAGACCGAGGAAGAGAGGAAGAGAAGGAGAAGAGGAAAUGGGGGCUGCGUAUGAGUGUCUGAGGUGCGGCGCGACUAGGACGUGAACUUUAAAUUCUUGCAGUUAAUUUUCAAAGCUCAAAAGUUAAAUUUCCAGGUGUGGGAUUUAUUUCAGUACAUGCACGUGGUUAAUAUUUGUCCAUUUUAAUAUUAUGUGUUUACCGUAUGUGUUGUAAAAAUAUUUAUCGCUAGGGGCCAGCAUAAUUGGUCCAGGACUUCACCGUCCUUGGUAUGCCACAAUGCGAUUUCAUGUUACAGGGUUGCAACCAUUAUAUUGUCGCCAGGGAUCCAUAUAUAGGGUCCGGGACAUUAAAGUCCUUGGAGUUGCCACAGUGCGUAUGGAAGUUAUGUUACGUUAUGACAAUAUGUGUUACCAUUUUAUUAACAUGGACAAUUAUUGCAUGUUCCCACACUGAGUGUACCCUGUAUGCUCAUCCCAUAUUCAACAGUUUCAGGUGAUUGAUAUCGGAGGCGCGUGGAGAGUCGAAUGGGCGCGUCGAAUCUAUUUAAAAUAAAUGUUUCUUAAAACAUAUUAUGUUAUUUCAUGUUAUAUCUUUUGGUUAUGUAAACUCUGAAAUUCUAUACUAUUUGAGAUUUGUGUGUGAUUUAUUUAAAUAAAUGUUGUUAUAUUAUUUUAAUGUCAUGACUUGUUUAAUUUAUAUUUAAA